GGUGCGCAGGCCCCAGGGCGGCACAGUUGUGUUUUACGUGGCUGAUUGGACCUUCAGUAGAAGUUCCUUAAAAACUGUCAAAGUACCGGCCAGCUGCGCGUUGCUGUAAAUCCUAACAUUCAACAACAAAAACACAUAACGGAAGCAAAUCAAGCUAUUAAAUGGUUUAAGGGGGCAACGUGAAUUCAGUCUGGCUGAGUCAAUGUUUUGUUCAAAGAGUACGAAGGAUUCUUAAAAUACUAAAAUUCAGUGUAACUCACGGAACUCAAAGCGUUUAGGCCUUAUUCAUAGUAGGAAACUACUGUCUCCUGAGAGCUGCUUUCCAGCUUGUACCAUGUGGGUCCUGGCCAGUCGUGACUGUGUCCAGAUCAGCACCUUGGGAGCGAACCUGAACCUUCCCAGUUGCUCUUCUUGGAUUCUUUCCUUUGAUUUUAAAGUCUGAAAGUUUCGAAAUGCCUGGUCGUCUCUGUCAUUUAGAUUCGUCUAAGACAUGCCUGUUGGCAUUUUGGCUUUUUCCUCAAUGUCCUUCAUUCGCCGUAGACGGAGUAUCUGGUUUCUGCUGUCACUGGCACAGUGGUUCCCGCCCGUGCCAUCCACGCCCGUCCAUGCCCAGGGGCUCCGAGCACCUCGGACUCCCAUGCCGUCUGCCCCUGGGAGCUGGGACCCCAAGUUCGGAGCCAUCAGUCCCCUCCUUUCCUAGAGUUUUGCCAUAAUAUGUACUUUUCAAGUUUUCUCUAUUUUCAAACUUGAUAUAAACCGUAUAUAUUCUCCUGUGACCUGCAGGUUUGAGAUUGGUUCAUGUUGCUGGUGUGGCUGGGGUUCCUUCAUUUUCACUGCAGGAAUAAAUCAGGGGGGCCCGUUCUCUCUGUGCUGUGGCCUUUCUUGUGUGUCUCCCGACAUACGUGUGCAGGGGUUUCUUCGGGACAUGUCCCCUGUGAGCAAGACUGCCUGGUCAUUGGGCACAUAGACCUCCGAAUAGACAAGAUCUGUCCGAUCAUUUUCCAGAGUGGUUGUAGAGAGUCCCUGUUGCUCUCAUCCUUGCUGAUACUGAGGGUUACCCAACUUUAAAAAUUGUAUUAGUAUCUCCUUAUGGUUUCAUUGAAAUCUCCCUGAUGAUAUUCAUCGGCUACAUGUGUUUUCUGGGCUGUGCCUAUUCAUGAUUUUCCCAGUUUUUUUUAAUGAGUGAUUUGUAUUGGAGGGUCCUGCGGAUGGUCUGCCUGGUCAUUUUUUCCGUCCAGUUUUCAUAUGCUCUUCACCCUGUCUCUGCUGAGGCUGACCUCUUAAAGAGACGGAGUAGGGCCGUCAGUGCCAGGAGAUGGGUGUGGAGCUGCAUGGUGAAUGAAGCUACAGACCCCAAUCUGGUUCCACCGUUUUCCCUCGAGGAGCUUUCCCAAGUCCCCAGAUCCUGCUCGGGACCCCACACAGCCUCAGUCGUCACUCUCCUUAGUCUCCAAUCUGUGACCGACCUCCGUCUUGUCUUGGUUUCCAUGACCUCGACACUUCGGGAGCACUGGCCAGUUAUUUUGUGGUGUCUCUAUUUGGGUUUCUCUGGUAUUUCCUCAUUGUUAGAAUGAGGUGAUGCGUUUUUUGGCAGGAAAACCGCAGAAGGGAUGAUGUACCCACUCAGAGCAUCCUUUCAGGGGUUCAGCUCCUGGUGACAUGAGGCUGGGCUUGCAGGGUCUCUGCUGUAGAGUUACUCUCGUUCUCGUUACUGUUAAGUAUUUGGAGACAAUGCAGAUAUCCUGUUUCUCCUCAAGCUUUGGCCCACUCAUUUUAAUAUCCACUGGUGGAUCUUACAGGUGACAUUUUUAUAACCCUUUCUCAUCUUUGCAGUCUUUUUCAAGUUAACUUUUAAAAAUUAAGGUGGGAGAGUCAAAAGAAUGAGAGGGUGUGGCUGUCCUGGAAAAAAAAUCUUAACCUUCUAAAGGGGGCAAUGUCAAAAACAACCAGGGAAUACAACAUCUAAGUGUGAAUUUGGGGUUUAAGUCUUUCUCCCUGUAAACGGAUAUGUUCUAGGAGAGAAGGCGGAAAUCGCUACCACCGAUUGAGAAUUUACUGAAGAAGCCAGUGUAAACCUCCAGAGCCGAUUAUUUACAACUCGUGUUGAAUAAGCAUUCGGCCUGGGAGGGUGGUGUGCUGGGGCAGUUUUGCCAGACUUCUGUGUGCUGGUUCCGUUGCACGCUGUGUCCUCAAGCUGGAAGGGACCUCCCAGCUGAGUACCAAAGCCUCGUGUUGGUACAGACCGGGAAAUAAGCUGGAGAGGUUAUGGUUUGCUCAAGGCCGUGUCCUCUUAAUUAUCACCAUGAUGAACUCGAGCCUCAAAGCCAGUCUGCUUGUUUCUCCAUUCAUUUAUUCAUCCAGCGUUUAUGGAGCACCUUCUGUGUGCUGGACACUGUGUAGUAUGCUGGGGAUACAGCAGCGAUGAGACCAACCAUGAGUCUGUCCCCGAGAGCCUUUAAUCUAGACCUAACCUUGGUGUGGGGUUCAGGUAAGGCUGCCAGAAGGUGGAUAUCGGUGUCUCUGUUUCUGUCUUGUGCCCCCACAGCCGAGCUCUCUGAAGACCCGGUGCCUGGGAGGUGUACGUUCCAGGGAGCUGGCUACCCUUCAGGACUGUCCUCACCAAGGGCAACAGUGACAGUGGGUUUGGUUCAUUGGGUAGUUAGGUGUUUGUUACUCUCAUACUUGAUACUUUUCUAUAGGUUUCCUUUUAUUUUAAAAAAUUAGAGCAUUUUCUUAAGAGAGGUGGGCAGUAGGCCUUCCUAGCCCUCGUGGCCGAGGAGUGCAGUUACGGCCAGCCAUGAGGGGUCUGAGCAUCGUCGUGCGGCAUGAUCAGCCCUCCCCUGCCCCGUCUGCAGCCCAUCCCUCACCUCUCUUCUCUGUGGAUCUUCCUCUUAGUGUCAGAACCUUUCCAGGGUGAUGCUUCAUCAACUUGUUUUUUGCUUUUUCUCUCCUCCCCUGGUGACCAGCCUUUGACCGUCUCUCAGUGGAGAGAUCCAGCAGCUUUGAGAAUUGCUGUCAGCCAGGUGUGAGAUUUUUUUUCCUGUUCCCUCUGCCCUCUGAGUUUUACUUUACCAUUCCAGGCAGAGGCAGAAACAAAAAGGGGAGGAAGAAAGGCCAAGUCUGGUGACUGCCUUGUGAGGGCCCUUUCUCCUUGUCGUGAGUAGGGGUGGGUGUGCAGGGCGGGAGUCUUCCUGCUCUGGAGCAGAGACGGCUGUGCCCUUCUGUGUGUUCGCGGCCGUCGGCUGCCAUUCAUGUGCAGAAUUCGGUACAACCUCCUGCAGCUCAGAAAAGAGGAAGAAAGAUAACCGACUACGUUAGACCUCGUCUUUCAACCACGUUUGAGGAAGACACAGCAAGACACCAAACCGAAAGGUUGUUCUCGUAGGUGUAACGAAUAUGAAUAUUGUCUACUUCUAUGGCCUUUCUCUAAUAAAAGAGAAGUUUGGAUUUUUAAGCGUGUCUUGCAGAUUAUGAACUAAUUAAUCUGCUUGUAAUAUUGAAUAUGGAUAAUAUUUCCACAGUUGGUCUGCUUUCUGUUACACCUUUGAAUUUAGGGUCUCAUUCAUCAGAACAGUACAGCGUAGGUGUGCCCGCGGUCGUCUGUGCAUAAGUCCUGGCACGGAUAGGGCCCAUGGGUUUGCACGUCGUAGUCCUCCUCGCUGGGCGUGCGGCCGGUGGACUUUCAGCCCUUUCUGCGUGCCAGGCCCUUUGCUGAAGUCAAGUCCCAUUUAUUCUGAAAGCUUGUAUGCAAACAAAUGAUAGCAGUAAAAUGUGCCGAGAAAUAUAAAUGAGGCUACAUUAGGGUUAAAGGGAGAAAAUGGGCAAUUCUAACCUGGCAGGUAGCAGUCAGGGGAGAUGUUUUGGAGGAGAUUUGUAAAAAUGAGGUAGAAUGAACCACUGGGGACGGUUGGCAGUGAGGUGGCAGAGGGGGCGCUGCAGAUGACGUGCGGGGCCAUGAGGGUGGCAGGGAGACGCUCUGUGCCUUCCGUGGCUCUGCCCCCUUCUCUGUGCUCGGGCCAUUCGGGCCUAGCUUCCCUACCAGCUUUACUGUGGGGGGUUGGGGGGGCAUCUUUUGCACAACUCUGUUAAAUAGUUCAUGCUCAUCUUCAUCUUCAUUGUCGGACAUUUACAACUUGGUGUUACUCUUAGGUCAGGUGUACCCUUUCCUGGCUCAGAGGACUGGGCAUUAGUCCUGGGAGCUGGGUGCCUCACGUGCCUUCUCGUGGCAUCUGUGCAGAGGCUGGGGCGACCACACAGUAGGUAUGCUGCACACACAGGACAGUUCACAUGGAUUGUGAGUCACUUUUACAGCCUUUUGGUUCUUAUUUCCAAGGCGCAGGGCCUUGUGCUUUCUUGAGACUGCCUUCCUUCCUUUGCUUUGGAAGAUGGGACCGAAGGCUCAGUUCAGAGGAGCAAGUUUCUGUGGACUGCGCAGGGUUUCUUGAUUCCUGGGAAUCAGAUGAUUCUGCUUAUUACACAGAAUGACUUUUGUUUCCCCGUUACGUUUCAAGGAAUCGCAUCCCUGUAGCCUUACCAGAGAUUGCUAGGAAAGGCUGGGUGUUCGGGCUGAAUUUUAGGUGUGGAGGACGGUGGUUCAUCACAGCUGUGUGGGUGGAUGCUGUCUCCUUAGAAGCCGCUGAGUGUGACGUCUUAAGAGGGGAAAUGACCCUGUGGCUUAGGGAGUAGCAUGCUGACUAUAAAAAGAACCACUGGAAUCGUCAGCCUAGCACCUGACAUAAAAUCCACAUGUGUCAGACUCCAAUUUGGUGGCGCCUGGGGCUGCAGAAUUAUUCCAGCUUGAUUGCUAGACACAGUCUGGGUUGGCUUUGCCUGGUCGCCUGCCCUUCCCGUCCCUCACCCCAGUGGUGCGCGCUGAUUAAGGGCCACAAGAACAUGGCUUACAAGCUCUCGGGCUUGGAAUGCCUCAUUGGGAAAGCUCCGAGAUAAAGUAGUGCCCCAGUUCUCCUUUGCAUUUCCGAAACAAACGUCCGUUGGGCCGGGUGGUAGUUAUAUCAUCUGAGAAAAGAAUGAACCAGUCCCUUUUCAAAAGGCUGGACGCCACAGGUUCAUGUUCCUGAGCUUUCUUAGUGGGCCUCUGAGACUCCCGAGAGCGAGGCUAAGCGGAAGAUGAGGCCAUCUGUAGCUGAAGUCACUUUUUGUAGCUCUCCUUGAGCGCACGUGAAUCAAAGGGCCUGAUCCCAGCAGCACAGUUUUCUGCACCCAGCUCCGUCCUUCUGGGAACAAAUGCCCUCCGUGAUGGCGUGGCUGUUGUUUUGAGCCAUAUGGGAAGGGUUCCCUGGAAACUGGUGGAUUAGGAAUAAGACCUGAGGUCGCAGCAUGCCCGGCAGGUGACAGGUUGCAUCUGUGGGCUGUUUGGGGAGAACACAGGCGUUUUCCACUGAGUCUGGGGAGGCUCCGUUGCUCGUCUGGCUGUGUCUCGGCCUGCCUGAGUGCCGCCCAGGCACCUGCCGUUCACUGGACUCCUUCGCUCUGUCCUCUUCUCUCUGUCAUCAGGAUGCCCUGUAGUCGUGAUUUUUCUAAAUGCUGUAAUCGGAGGUUUUAGACUAGAGGGAGACCGGAAACCCCCAGCAGGUGCGGUGAGCACGGUGCCUUUAGAGCGAGGUGUUUCUCGUGGUGCAGGUGGGGCAUUUCAGACUCUUCCUGCUUCCCAGCGAUGCCGGUGCUCCUGGGCAUCCGCUGCUGCUGUGACGUGCGGUGGCAGAAAACCCCGAACGGGAGGGCCUCUCUCCCCUUCUCUGGUGAACAAGUCCCGGGACAGCCAGUCCAGCCAUGGGGGGUGGGCCUCUCUCCAGGCCCUUCGCAGGGUCCUGCUGUGGGGCUCCUUUCCUCGGCUUGAGCCCCAGCCAGACAGCAGGAGGAGGGUGCAAAGGAGCGGCCCACCCUCUUCCUUUCAGGGCGACUUCCUGCAAGCACCACCAGCCGCGUCCUCGUAAAUCUCUGGGAGCUGAGUCCCAUGGCCACACCUACAGGGGAGGCUGUUGCCUGUGGGCCCUCCUGGCCUGGUGUUACUGAGGCAGAAGCCCAGAAGGGCCCCAGGCCGAGCCGGUAGCCAGCAGCCCCUGCCAGAGUCCCUCUGGGACCUCUCUGCCUCUAAGACGAUUGGGGGCGGGGGUUAGUGCUCAGUGGGGAGCCCCAGGGAGGGAGAGUUGGGUCUCUAAGUUAUUUUCACUUUCCUUUGUUGGGUGAGGAGAUGGUCGUAAUAGCACAUAAUAGGACACUCUAAAGUAUCCUCUGCUGGCUAAUGGAGAUACCGCGCAACUGCGUUUUCCAUCCUGUGUGUCCUUCUGAAUUCUACGGAAUUCAUUCCUUCAGCAAAUAUUUGUGGAGCAGCCACCCUGUGUCCUGGGGAAGUAGCAGCAAACAAACAACAUAAGGAGCUGACUUUCUGAUAAGAGGAGCCAGUCGAUAAAUUAGCAGGCGUGCGUGUGUGUGUGCACAUGUGCCCGAGGGCGUGUAUUGUGUGUGUUAGAGGAAAACAUCAGGGAACUGGGAGGGGGGCAGGGGGGAGUCUGCUUCGAUGAAUAGGGUGAUCACAGGGUGGGGGUUCUGUAGCAUAGUCUUGGUGCACCCACAUUUGUGCUCCCUUCCAUCGUGGUAUCAAGUUGAGAGUACUGCCCCAGAGCCAGGCUACGUAUUCUACUCUCUCCAUGGUCUGGUGUAGCCUUGGGACUCUGUUCUGCGUCUUGCUCUUGAAAUGACUGGGCAGGUCUGCCCCAGCCCCUCCAUCUCCCUGUGGGCUGCUGACCCGUGCCAAGAGCCUGGGUGGUCAGCACAAGCCCACAGUGGAAGUGAUCAUACAGAACACAGCCAGAGGCACCUGGGCCAUAUUGUUGAAGCGUCUGUGUCUGGGCUGGAGCCCGGACUCCUGUAGCUUCCCCGAGUGGCAUUUGAGAACCCUGAAGGAGGUGGGAGAGCAGGCCUUGUAGGUGUCAGGGGAAGGGGGAGGUUUCCUCGCUGGGAGAGUGACCAGUGCAAAGGCCCUGGGGUGGGGUCAAGUUUUGUGUUCCAGAGCCCAGUGAGCAGGUAGGGUAAGAGGGGACAGGUUCCCAGAGCAGAGGUGUUUAUGUGGUUUGAUUUACAUUUUAACAGGAUUGUUUUGGCAGCUGUUUCGAUAAUAGAAACAGGGAGGCCUGUUUGGAGGCUUUUACAAUAAUCUAGGUGACAGGAUGGUGGCUCAGAUCAGCAUGAUCAUGGUGGAAGCGAUGAGAAGUGGUCAGGUCUGUGUCUUAGAACUGGAGAGGAAUUUGGAAGUCCUCUGGUCUCACUGCCCAUCCAGCUUAAGGAUUCCCUCGGCAUUAGCCCUGUGGCUGAUACUGAGCCCAGUAUUUUAUUUUAUAUGUUAAAUUGAGACCACUGUUGGAGAGUCCCUUUCUCUUUGUGAGUGACUUCCGGGCCACCUGUGUGUCUGGAACGGCCCCUGGAGCCCACACAAGUAAACCCUGUGCUCGUGGUGUCUGUGUCCAAACACGUCCCGCCGUCCGUGCUCACUGCCAGGGACACGCGUCAGACUGCACGUCCCGGUCUUUCUGUGAAGGUCAGUCACCCUUCAUUUCCUGAGGUCUCAAGAUCGGGAGUGCCAAGAGUGAAGAUCUCCGGCAGUGGAGGGCAGGUUACAGCAGCUUAGAGAGCCACACGCCCCCCAGGUGAAGCAUCAGCCCCUCCUGUCCUGCUGGGGGAGCAGCGGGGUUCCCACGUGUUCCAUUAGUGUGGAAUUGGGCUCUAAUUAGCAAACACUGAAGUCAGCCAACAGCCCCUUUCUCAUGUUCCUACCGUGCGUACCUUCUCAUGCUGUGCAGCAGAGGACCUCCCCGUCCCCUCUGCAGUCCUGGGUUUAUCUCCAGCCAUGCUAGUUUUAAUCCUCUUAAAUUUUUACCAGCUGAAAAGUGGAACAAUUCCAUGAUUAUUAGUUCUUUUCUUGCAUGCAUUAGCCAUUUAUAGUAAUUCUGUGAGUUGCCAGUGAUACCCUUUACUUCCUUUCCUCUUUUGGGAACAAGUUUCUAUUGAUUAAUAUUAGUCUCUUACUAGGUGCUCAUUUUGGUAUCACACCUUUUUUUUUUUUAACUUUAUAUUUUGAAAUAAUCAUAAAUUCACGGGAAGUUGCAAAGAUAGUACAGAGAGGUCCUUACGUCCUUGGCCCAUUUUCCCCUGUGGGUAGAUCUUACAUGACUCCAAUAUAAUAAGAAAACCAUGAAAUUGACAUUGGUGCAGCGUGUGUGUGUGCAUGCGUGUGCAGCUCUGUGUCCCGGGUAACCGCCCCUGGAGUCAAGACACGGAAUGAACUGCUCCAUCACCGCAGAGAUCACCCUCGUGCUGCUCCUUCUUAGUCACACACCUCCCUUCCUCCACCACCCCUGCCCCUGGCAACCGCUGAUUUGUUCUCCAUCCCUAAAGUUUAUCAGCUUGCAUGAAUGCAGUCAUAGUACGUGGGAACCUUUGGAGGCUGACCUCUCGAGAUGCCCAUUUAUUUCUGGGUAGCUCUUCCUGGUCUGGAGGUGUCACAGGAACUACACAUGCGGCCAGAUACGCAGUUACAGACACGUCUGUACGUACACAUAUAUGAAGAAUCAUCAUCUGUAUCUUAGAAGAAUAGCUCAGGAAUGGUAGAGAUUAGUGAAUAAUUUCUAGAGAAAGUGGAGUACUAUUUCAGGUCCUAGGAGACUAGAAAUUAGUUUCGGUUUGGUACCGUGUGCGUGUGUGUGUGUGUGUCUAACCUUUCAAACUAAGUUAACUUUUUUUUUUUAAGAUUUUAUUCAUGUAUUUGUCAGAGAGAGCACAAGCAGGGGGAGCGGCAGAGGGAGAGAGAGAAGCAAGCUCCCCACUGAGCAGGGAGCCUGACGUGGGGCUCGAUGCCAGGACCCUGGGAUCAUGACUUGAGCCUAAGGCAGACGCUUAACCGACUGAGCCACCCAGGCGUCCCCUAAGUUAACUUUAAUAGUGUGAUUCGUAGGGGAAAAUUCAGUCUUCUUAAAACCAACUGUUCAUGUCAAAGGGACUUGAAAUUCUCUAACCAAAUCCUCCUAUUUGAUACUGAGACGGUUGGAGGCCUGGGUGUUGAAGAAAUUGGCCUGUGGUGACGCAGCUAAUGAACAGCCUGGCCGGGAUUACAGUGCAGAGAACCCCAAGGAGCUCCAGCCUUUGAAGGCCCGUCUGAGUCCCGAUCCCAGUGCUGGAGGGGGCGGGGCACGCUGAGCUCUCCUCCAGGUGGCUCUUGCCCGAGGACACAGAAGCAGGAAACAGAGCUGUGCUAUUCUUGGAUCGGGGGCCAGUGAGAAACUUACGUGUUCCUGCUCAGGGUGUUGGCCUUUCCCCUUCGUUUCAUUGAUCAUGACUAGUAUUAUAUACUUACCUCUACAACCUGCUCCCUUGGGGGAAAGAUACGAAGUGUUAAGCAUUUUAACAUAGAUCCCUGUGAAUACCGUCGCUCUAAAGGCCUGCCUCUGGAGGGUUUGUAAGCUGCUGACAUAAUGGUCCAGGUGGAAAUGCGGUAUCUGCAGGCACACUUCGUUUUGUUGCGCUCUGCAGGUAGUGUGUUCUUUACAAAUUAGAAGUUCAUGGAACUAGCAGGAGACCCAGAAGUGGAGCCUGAAGAUGGGACUGAAUUGCACCACUUGAAAUAAUGAGGAGUUGCUUCUUAUGGAUGAGCAAAGAAAGUGGUUUCUUGAGACAGCAUCUACUCCUGAUAAAGAUGCUCUGAGGAUUCUUGAAAUGACAACAGAGGAUUUAGAAUAUUGCAUAAACUUAAUUGAUAAAGCAGCAGCAGGGUUGGAGAGGAUUGACUCCAGUUUUGAAAGUUCUGUGGGUAGAACGCAAUCCAACAGCAUCCCACGCUACAGAGAAAUCCCUCAUGAGAGGAAGCGUCCAUCAGUGCCGCAAACGUCAGUGCUGUCGAUUUUAAGAACUUGGCAUGGCCACCCCAGCCUUCAGCAGCCACCAGCCUGAUCAGUCAGCAGCCAUCGAUGACGAGGCAGACCCUCCACCAGCAAAAAAGACUGUGAGUCCCUGAAAGCUCAGGUGGUGUUAGCAUUUCUUAGCCGUCAAGCAUUUCUUACUUAAGGCGUUCAUAGACAUAACGCUGCCGCACACUUACCAGACUACGGUAUAGCUUAAACAUAGUUUCUGUGUGUAGUGGGAAACCAAAAAAUUCAUUUGACCGGCUUUAUUCUGUUGUGCACUUUAUUGCAGUGGUCUGGAACCGAACCUGCAACGUCUCUGAGAUGUGACUGUGAUGGAAUUAAUAAUAGAAUAUUUUGUGUGAUAACAAGGCCAGAAACCCCAAGAGAAAGAAUAAUGGAUUUCACUGAGUAAACAUUUUUCAGUUUAGUGUGGCAGACGUCAGCACAAAGAAAGUUAAAAGGGAAAUGACAAAUUAGGAAAAAAUCGCAACAUCUAGCAAAGAUGUUUUUUUAAUAUGUUGAGAGUGUAUGAAACAACUACAACAUGAGCUCUUAUGAACCGGCACAUGAAGACUCAGCAGAAGAAGUAAAACUGCUGUCCUCACUGCUGACUGUGCAAAUGCAAAUUAAAGCGGUAAUGAAGUAAUUUUUCUUUUUAAGAUUAUUUGAGAGAGAGAGAGCACACAUGUGCAGGGGGGCGGGCAGAGGGAGAGGGAUCUCAAGCUGACUCCCCACUGAGCGCGGGGCCUGACGCGGGCUGGCUCCCAUGACCCCAAGAUCAUGACCUGAGUCGAAACCAAGAGUUGGGUGCUUCACCGACUGAGCCUCCCAGGCGCCCCAUGAAGUAACUUCUUGUCAGUCAGACUGGUGGUGAUUCUGAAGAAUUCCUUGGGCUGAUUGAGGUCCUGGGAAAUAGGUACUGUCGUCUGUAGGUGGCAAGAGAGCAAGUGGUUUGGUUUCUCUGUGUGUCAGUGUCACAUCCUCUGCAGUAAUUCAUCUUCCAAGGAAUUUACUCUGAAGCAGGAACUGUGAGAUUUCCGGCUUCUAAUCACUGCAGACUAGUUAUCCAGAGACUUCUGCCGAAGAUAACUUAAAAUGCCAGAUAGGAUGUUGAAAACAACUUUAUGGAAGCCUCUAAGUGCCGAGAAGAUCGUAAGGACUCCAGGCCAACCCCUGAGAGCGUGGGACCUGCAGAGAUUUCAAGAAAUGUGGUCCACUGGAGCGCGUGCUGAGUGAGCCUGAGGACUGGGGAGAGCCCUGGGCUCUCGGACCCCCGCCUGGUGCAGGAGCUUCGGUUCCGCAACUGUCAGAGAGGGCAGCACGCCUCCUUUUAGAUCAGCUCAGCGGUGAAAACACCUAGCAUCGUGUUGGCAAGACACGUCUGUCCGGGAAACCAAUUUGCCGAUUUAGGAUUUCUUCUGUACUCAGUACUGGGCCGUGGGCUGUGAACGGAGGCUUCUCCUCGUCCUUCCUCCGAGCACCAGGGCUCAGAUGCCUGCAGCAGGCACCUGCAUCUCCCCAUGUGCGGAGACAUGCACGGAUGCCUGUUGGUCGGUGUCACAGAGACAGACCUGCACCAGGUGGGUUUCUAACGAAAGCCGUCAUUCAAGGACACGGGAGGAAAGAGGCCGCUGCCAUGAUAAGUAGUCAUGAGACUGACGAACUCGGUUGCUGUAGUGAAAGAGGCAUCUAGAAAAGCAAGGUUGCCCUGUUCUUGCUGUCCUUGGGGAGCUUUCCUGAGAAUUUUGCAUUAAAGCCAGAUGAAAUGGUGGAUUUAUUCACUUGUUAUGCCUUUUUUUUCUUUCUUCCUUUUUUUCUUAAUGGUGGUAAAACACGCCUUUCCUUUGUUAUAAGCCACUAAGGCUUUCUAGCGGGUCAGUAUUAACAGCUGAGCAGAUGUAUCGAGGCGAGUCUUGGGCAAGUCUAGUUUGUGUGUGAGCAGUUCCUCGGGGAUUCCUUGUGGGUGGGGACGGCCGACCAUUUAACAAAUAGGUCAAGAGAUUGGAUGCGGCCCUCAUCUUCUGAUACUGGAAAACACCUUUUCUGGGGCCACCAGGAGCGCCCCACAAGCUUGUAUAGCAGCACUUGCUGCUCGUAAGUUCAAGGUUUAGAAAUAAAGCCAAGGUGCUAUCUGUGAGCCUUUCAGACCAGGGCAGGCAGAUUGCACAGCUGUCCAUCUUAGCUCGAGCUGCUGUAACUGAAUACCACACGCGGGGUGGCACAAAUAGCCAGCGUCUCUUUCUCAUGGUUCUGCAGGCUGGGGGUCCAAAAUCGGGGUGCCUACAGAUCUGGUUCUUGGCGAGGGCCCUCAUCUUGUGUGUGCUCAGAGCAAGCUCUGGACUCUUUCCUCUUAGGAGGGAGAGCACUAAUCCCAUCAUGAGGCUCCUCCCUCAAGACCUCCGGGUAAGCCCGUUUACCUCCCAAAGGCCCCACUUCACAGUCCCGUCACACUGGGGGGUCGGCGGGGAGACACAAACAUUCAGCCCACAGCGGUGACCCUGCCCUUGCUCCCUCUUCCCUACUUCCUUUCCCAAAGGUAGUUAACCAACCUCUCUUCCUCAGUUCACUUAAGUCCUCUGUGUUUCUGCAUUUCUAUAAGAAGACAUGUUUUAUGUGUUUGGCUGCAUGGCUAGAUCUGUGUUAUUUUUAUGCAUUGGAAAAAGGAUGCCUUUCUAAUUAAAAUAGGAUUGUCUUCCUCCCUUUCCAAGAGUUUUGAGCCCAGAGUAUUAGAUGGCAUUAAAAUUUUUAUUUUCAAGGAGACCCCAGCCCCCUGAAUUUUGAGGAAAGCAGAAUUCAGGGAGAGAAAGGAGGGACCAAGGUUCGCGUUUGCUCAGGGAAUCAAAUGUAGGACAUUUAGAAUGCGGAUGUGUUCAUGGGAAGGUAGCUCUGAGAUGCACUCACCCCUGAGGAGCCCAAGACAAUGGAUCUCUUGCUUUUGCCUUGCUCCUCUGCCCUUACUCUGGUGUGGUGGUAGCAAAACUGACUACCGAAACCUCUGCUCAGUAAAUGGGGUUUCAGUUCUUGAAGCCAAGUUAGUUUCUAUUCCCAGUUUGGCGUAUGCUCUUUCCCUGAGCCAGCUUGAUUAUGAAGUUCCCGAAGACCAAGCUGGUGGUGGGGAUGGUGCCGUGACACGGUACCCCGGGAUGGGCAGCUCUGGUUGGAACUCGUCUCACGAGGCUUUGAUUUCAUCCCUUGUAUGAUAUUUGACAUAAAAGGAACUCGGUUUGGCCGAGGCCCACUGCAUGGGUAUCUUGCAUCAUUCUGGGCAUUUUAGCAAAUUCUCCAGAGCCUCUUUCUGCAUUUGUACUUCCCAGGAGAUAUGAUGUGAUGCCCAGUGUGACUGUCCUUGGAGUUCUGGUGUCAGUCCUGGUUUUGCCUGAGCACAGGAAAUCGGUGACUCGACAGUGACCCAUGUUCCCGAAGUGUCGACAACCCACAGCCCCCCUCUUCUCCCACCUGGUUGUGCUCCUGAUGUGAGUGUUGGAUACUGGUGUCCAACCCUGGCUUUGUUGUCACCUUGCUCAUCAUUGACCACCUUUCUCUCCUCUCUCCUUUUCAUGCUGAUCUCAGAUUUCAGGUAUCUUCUCCUGUAGCUCCCCUUGCAGGAUAGCCUCGUGCACCCCGUUUUAGUCCAUGGGUGACCUGUCCCUUCCCUUUGCUGCCGUCAUGGGCACUACAGGAUUGCAGAAGGAUGCUGUAGCCAGAGAAAGACUGGGGGGUGGCCAGCACUGCCCCACGUGAUUCUGCUGCAUUUAUUAAUGGCAGAGACACGGGGCACAGUGGUCCUCCUGAGUUCUGACUAAAAUGGGGGAGUGGGAAUCAGGCUUCAUUUCCAGGUUAUUUUCCCUUUUCUCUGUUAUUCUUGACCUGCUGCUCUUUUUCGUCCAGAACUUCAUACUGAAAUCCUAGUCUCCCAAGACCAUUCUGGCUGGCUGAUCGCUCAUUCCAGCCAACUUAUAUCGUGGUGUUUAACCCAAAACAAGGUUGUAAAAUAAGGAAAAAGCAGUGUCUCAACUCCAGGAAAGGGAUAACUUGAUCAAGCCUAAGACCUUAGUAGCUGGGAGACGUAUUUCUCCAGGGCUCCCCCAACCCUGUUUUUUUAAACUUUGUGAAUUUUGUACUAUAUGCGUUUAUUAUCUAUUCAAAAACUUUAAAAAUGUUAAGUAAUUCAUAAUACAGUGAAAAGUUCAAAUUCUAUAAGGAAAGUAUGUUACUGGGGCGCCUGGGUGGCUCAGUCGUUAAGCGUCUGCCUUCGGCUCAGCUCAUGAUCCUGGGGUCCUGGGAUCGAGCCCCUCAUCGGGCUCCCUGCUCAGCUGGAAGCCUGCUUCUCCCUCUCCCACUCCCCCUGCUUGUGUUCCCUCUCUCGCUGUGUCUCUGUCAAAUAAAUAAAAAUAAAAUCUUAAAAAAAGAAAAAUGUUACCAGCAAACUUGAAAGAAGGAUGUCAGUAAACUGAAUUAUACAAUUCACACUGUUUUUAGAAUAUUAUUAUUAUUGAUUGUGAUAUUAAUAGUGAUUCCCAUAUAAUGGGUGCUUAACUGUGCCGGCCACUAUGCAUGAACCUAUCAUAAACCAAACCCCAAGUGAUAAGUUGGCUCUUCAAACACACAUUUUGUUUCAUAAGUAUGUGCAACAUUGUCUUUUUUUUUUUUUUUAAGGAAACAACUAAUAGAUGAGGCUUUAUGCAUAUUUUUGUUUUAUAGUUGUUUGGUUUUAUUCAUCUUUGAAAGUGGUUUGUGUAAAAAGGAAGACAAAUUUAAGUCUGAAAGAAAUAUUCAGUAACAGAUGUUGACUUACAUUCUUAAACUUUGUGCUUUAGCUGCACCUUAUAUAAUUAAGACGUUUGAUGAAUUAAUGAUGUGGAGUCCCGUUUCCCCACACUCCCACCUCCUGCUCCUUCUCAUUCAUUCUGCUCCAAGCAUAAAGGUCUUCUUGCUAUUCCUUCAACAUUCUGAGCACAGUCUGGUCUCAGGGACUUUGCACUUGGUGUUCUCUCUGCCUGGCAUACUCUUCCUCCUACAUCUUAGAAAGGUUGAUUCAAAUGUUACCUUCUUAGUGAAGUUUUCCCUGAUUUUCUUGAUUAACAGCACGAUUCCACCCACCGCUGCCUGUUAUUUUUCCCUGCUUCAUUUUUAAAAUACUUUUGUUGGAGAAUUUGUUGUACAUGUAUAUAUACAUGCAUGCAUGUGUAUAUACACACAUCUUUGCAUAUACAUUAUAUAUAAAAAGUAUGUGUAUAUAAACUCAGUUUUCACAAACUAAACACAUCCAUGUAACCAACACCCAAAUCAGGGUACAAAAUUACCAGCACUCCAAGAUCUCUUUUCUUGACUCACUACCUUCCACUCUCCAGAAAUAACCUGACGUUCAAGAGCGUAGAAGAGUUUUGGCUGGUUUUGUAUUUAGUGCGUAUAGCACCAUGCAGCAUUUACUCUUCUGUAACUGGCUCCUUUCCUUUAGCAUCAUGUUUCAUGAGAUUCAUCUGCGUUGUGGCGUGGGUCGUAAAUCCCCCAUUCUCAUUGGUGUCCAGGAUCCUCCUAUGUGAAUAUAGCGCAAUUUAAUACGCACUCUCCUGUUGAUGGGCACUUGGGAUUUUGACAGAGCGCGUUACUAUGAAUAUUCUAGCACAUGUCUUCUGAUGAAGAGAUGUAGGCAUUGCUGUCAGGUAUAUCUGGGAAGUGGAGUCGCUGGGACAAAGGACAUGCAUAUGUUCAGUUGUAGUAGCUUUUUCACAGCAUUUGUAUCAAUUUCUAUUCCACCAGCAGAGUUCAAAUGCAGCCACUUCCCUUCCUUACCAGCCCUUGGUAUUCUUUGUCCUUUUCAUGUACUUAUUCUAGUGACCAUGUAGAGGUCUCUCGCUUGCUUACUGACUGAAAAAUAAUUGAUGUAUGUAAAUGAAGAAAUCUUAAGUGUAUACAGCUCAAUGAAUUUUACCUGUGUAUAUACUCCUAUAACCACCACCUCGUCUAAAAUAAAAAAAAAACAUUUUCAGCGUCCCAGAAAGUUCCUCCUGCUUCUUCCCAGUUGAUACCACUCCUCCCAGUGAAAGCACUGGGAUUUUUAUCACCAUAGUGUUUUACCUGUUUUUGAAGUCCAUUUAACUGGAAUAAUUUAUGCCCUUAAAUCUGACUUAAUUGUUCAGUGUAAUGACCAAGAUUUAUCUGUAUGGUUACAUUAUUGGUAGUUUAUUCUUUUUUAUACAUAAAGGGAAAUGAGAAAGGAAUUUAAAUUUUCACUACUUUCACGGCGCCUGGGUGGUUCAGUUGGUUAAGCAUCCAACUCUUGAUUUCGGCUCAGGUCAUGAUCUCAGGGUCAUGAGAUCAGGCCCCACACUGGGCUCCACACUCAGCAGGGAGUCUGCUUGAGAUUCUCUCUUUCUCCCCUGCCCCUCUCCCUGCUCACACACGUGUGCGCUCUCUCUCAAAUUUUUAAAAAAUCACUACUUUCAACUAAACACAAAAGAAAAUAGUAAUGCAGGAAAUGAAUAUAAAAGCUACAAGGUGUAUAGAAAACAAAUAGCAAAAUGACAAAGGUAGGGCCCUCCCUACCAGUAAUUAUUUUAAGCUCACAUUGAUUAGACGCCACAAUCAAAUGACAGAGACUGGAAGAAUGGAUGAAAACACAUGGCCCAACUAUUUCCUGCCUGCAAAAGAUUCACUUUAAACCCAAAGACACAGAUAGAUUGAAAGUGAAAGGAUGGAAAAAGUUAGAAGAGAGUAAUGUGGCUAUACUAAUAUCCAACAGAAUCGACUUUAAAAUCAAAAAAAGGUUGCAAGAAACAAAGCCUUGUAUAUUAAUAAAAGAUUCAAUACAGCAAGAAGAUACAAGUUAUUAACAUGUAUGUACCUAAUGACAGACCAUCUAAUAUAUGAAGCAAAAAGUGACAAAGGGAGAAGUAGACAGUUGUACGAUAACAGCCAUAGACUUCAACGCCCCACUCUCAAUAAUGAACAGAAGAACUGGACAGAAGAUAAGGAUGGAAAUAAAGGAAGUAAACAGCACAAUGAACAAUCAGAUCUAACAGACCUGUACCAGCCACCCAAUAACGACAGACCACACACUCUUCUCAAGUGCACAUGGGACAUUUUCCAGGAGAGACCACUAACUUAGACUGCAAAUAAAUCCCAGUAGUAUUAAAAAGAUAUCAUAAAAAUAAUCUUUAAUCACAACAGGAUGAAGUUAGGAAUCAAUAAUAGAAGUAAAACUGAAAAAUUCACCAAUCUGUGGAGAUUGAACAGCAUACUCUUAACCAGUGGGUCAAAGAAGAAAUCACAAGGGAAAUUAGAAAAUACUUAGAAAUGAAUGAAAACAAAACCACAACAUACCAAGAUUUACAGGGUGUGGUAAAACCCACACUAAAGGGGAAAUUUAUAGCCAUAAAUGCUGACAUUAUAAAAACAAGAAAGAUCUCAAAUCAACCUGAUUUUACAACUGAAGGAACUAGAAAAAGAAGAACAAACUAAACCCAAAGCUAGCAGAAGGGGAGAAAUAAAAGAUUAGAGCAGAGAUAGAUGAAAUAGAGAACAGAAAAACAAUAAAGAAAAUCAGUGAAAGCAAAAGGUGGCUCUUCAAAAAGAUCAACACAGUCAACAAACUUUUAGUGAGAUGGGCUAAGACAAAAAGAUUCAAGUUCUAAAAUCAGAAAUGAGGGGCACCUGGGUGUCUCAGUCGUUAAGCAUCUGCCUUCGGCUCAGGUCAUGAUCUCAGGGUCCUGGGAUCGAGCCCUGCAUCGGGCUCCUCCCUGCUCAGCAGGGAGUCUGCUUCUCCCUCUCCUGCUCCCCCUCCUUGUGCUCGCUCUCCUGCUGUAUCUCGCUCUGUCAAAUAAAUAAAUAAAUAAAUUUUAAAAUAAAUAAAAUCAGAAAUGAAAAUGGGGACUUAUCACCGAUUCUACAGAAAUAGAAGGGGUUAUAAGGGAGAACUGUGAAUAGUUGUAUGCUAACAAAUUUGACAACCUAGACAAAUUCCUAGAAACACAAAACCUAUCCAGACUAAAUUAUGUAGAAAUAGAAAAUCUGAAUGGACCUAUGACCAGUAAGGAUAUUGAAUCCGUAAUCAGAAAUCUAACAGAGAAAAGCACUGGGCCUGAUACCUUCACCAGUGAAUUCUACCAAACAUUUUAAAAAGAACUAAUACCAAUCCUUCUCAGACUUUUCCCCCAAAAAUGAGAGGAGAGGGGAACACUUCCUAACUCAUUCUGUGAAGCCAUCAUUACCCUGAUACUAAAGUCAAAGACUAAGAAAACCGGUAUCCUUUACAAAUAUAAAUGCAAAAAUCCUCAACAAAACACUAGCAAACCGAAUUCAGUGGCAUAGUAAAAGGAUUGUAUACCAUGACCAGUGCAAUUUAUUCUGGGAAUGGAAGGAUGGUUCAACAUAUGAAAACCGAUCAUUGUAAUACCCCAUGUUAACAGAAUGAAGGAUGAAAGAACCCAGGGUAUUCUCAAUGUGGUAAAAGCAUUUGAUAACAUUUAAUACCCUUGGGUAAACACAGUCAGCAAGUUAUGAAUGAAUGGAAAUUACUUCCAUAUGAUAAGCCAUAUGAAAAACCCACCACUAACAUCAUACUAAGUGUUGAGAGACUUGAAAGCCUCUCCUCUAAGAUCAGGAACAAGACAAGGCUGCCUACUUUCACUACUUCUGUUCAAUGAAGUACCAGAAGUUGUAGCCAGAGCAGUAGGCAAGAAAAAGGAAAGGCAUCCAAACUGGAAAGGAAGAGUAAAAUUAUCUCUGUUCAUAGAUGACAUAAUUUUAUAUAUAGAAAACCCUAAAGAUGCCACAAAAAUCCUGUUAGAGCUAAUUAAUCCAGCAAAGUAGCAAGAUACAAAGUGAACAUAUAAAAAUCAUUUGCGUUUUUAUACACUAACAUUGAACAAUCUGAAAAGAAAAUUAUGAAAACAAUUCCAUUUACAGUAGCAUCAAAAAAAAAAUAGAAUUAUCCAAGAAAGGAAAAGACUUAUGAAAACUACAAAUAAUGCUGAAAGAAAUUAAAGAAGACAUAAAUGGAAACAUAUCUCAUGUUCAUGGAUUGGAAAAUUUCAUAUUUUAAAAUGUCAAUACAGGACUCAGUCGGUGAAGCGUCUGCCUUCAGCUCAGGUCAUGAUCCUGUGGUCCUGGGAUCGAGCCCUACAUCGGGCUCCCUGCAUAAGUAGAGAGUCUGCUUCUCUUUCUCCCUCUGCCCUUCCCUCCUCUCAUGCUUUCUCUCUCUCUCAAAUAAAUCAAUAGAAUCUUAAAAAAAAAAUGUCAGUACUACCCAAAGAGAUCUACAGUUUCAGUACAAUCCCUGUCAAAAUCCUAAUGAUGUUUUUCUAUUAAUAAUAAAAGAGAGGGGGCAUCUAGCUGGCUUAGUCAGUAGAGCAUGUGACUUAGUCUCAGGGUUGUGAGUUCAAGCCCCAUGUUGGGCAGGGAGCUUACUUAAAAAAAAUAAUAAUAAUAUGGGCGCCUGGGUGGCUCAGUUGGUUAAGCGACUGCCUUCGGCUCAGGUCAUGAUCCUGGAGUCCCUGGAUCGAGUCCCGCAUCAGGCUCCCUGCUCGGCGGGGAGUCUGCUUCUCCCUCUGACCCUCCCCCCUCUCAUGUGCUCACUCUCAUUCUCUCUCUCUCAAAUAAAUAAAUAAAAUAUUAAAAAAAAAAAAAAAAAAAUAAUAAUAAUAAAAGAGAGGGGGCAUCUAGCUGGCUUAGUCAGUAGAGCAUGUGACUUAGUCUCAGGGUUGUGAGUUCAAGCCCCAUGUUGGGCAGGGAGCUUACUUAAAAAAAAUAAUAAUAAUAUGGGCGCCUGGGUGGCUCAGUUGGUUAAGCGACUGCCUUCGGCUCAGGUCAUGAUCCUGGAGUCCCAGGAUCAAGUCCCGCAUCGGGCUCCCUGCUCGGCGGGGAGUCUGCUUCUCCCUCUCCCACUCCCCGUUUGUGUUCCCUCUCUCGCUGUGUCUUUCUCUGUCAAAUAAAUAAAUAAAAUCUUUAAAAAUAAAUAAAAUAAUAAUAAUAAUAAAUAAAUACUCCUUGGGAAACUCAUGAAAUCUCAAGGGACCUGAAAUAGCUAAAAUAGUCUUGAAAAAGAACCAAUGGAAUACUCACGCUUCCUGAUUUUAGAACUUGCUACAAAGUUAUACUAAUCAAAAUCGUGGGGUACCUGCAUAAAGACAGACAUAUCAAUCAAUGGGAUACAAUAGAAAACCCAGAAGUAAAUCCUUGUGCUGUGUUCAAAUGAUUUUUGACAGGGGUGCCAGUAACACUCAUUAGGGAAAGGACAGUCUUUUCUUUUUUUUCUUUUUUUUAAAGAUUUUAUUUAUUUAUUUGAGAGAGAGUGAGAGACAGAGAGCAUGAGAGGGAGGAGGGUCAGAGGGAGAAGCAGACUCCCCGCCGCGCAGGGAGCCCGAUGCGGGACUUGAUCCCGGGACUCCAGGAUCAUGACCUGAGCCGAAGGCAGUCGCCUAACCAACUGAGCCACCCAGGCGCCCAAGGACAGUCUUUUCAACGAAUGGUUCUGGAAAAACUGGAAAACCACAUGUGAAAGAAUGAAGUUGGACCCUUACCUAACACUGCAUACAAAAGUUAAAAUGUAUCAUAGACCUAAAUGUAAGGCCUAACACUAUAAAAUCUUAGGAGAAAAUAUAAGGCAAAACUUUAUGACAUGAGAUUUGGCAGUCAUUUCUGGGAUGUGACACCAAAGGUAGAGGCAACAAAAGAAAAAAUAGACAAUUUGAAUUCUACAUGAAAAAUGUAAAAUUUUGUGCAUCAAAGGACAUCAGCAUAAUAAGAGAGCAACCCACAGAAUGGGAGAAAAUAUUUGUAAGUUAUAUAUGUGGUAAGAGAGGUUAAUAUCCAGACUAUACUGAGAAUUCUCAAAACUCAACCACAAAAAAACAACUACCCAAUUCAAAAAAUGGGUAUUAGACUUGAAUGGACAUUUCUCCAAAGAAGAUGUACAAAUGGACAAUAAGCAUAAGAGAAGAUGCUCAACAUCACUGAUUAUUAGAGAAAUGCAAAUCAAAACUACAGUUAAGAUACCGCCAAAUAACCAUUAGGGUUACUACAAUAAAAAUAAUAGAAAAGAACAAGUUCUGGCAAGGAUGUGGAGAAAUUGAAAUCCUUGUGCACUGUUGGGAUUGGGAUUGUAAAUGGUGUGGCUACUGUGGAAAACAGUAUGGCAGUUCAUCAAAAAAAUAAAAAUAGGAUUAUCAUAUCCAGCAAUUCCAUUUCUGGGUAUACACAAAAGAAUUAAAAGCAAGGUCUUGAAGAGAUAUUUGCACACCUAUGUUCAUAGCAGCUUAUUUACAAGAGCUAAAACAUGAAAGCAACCCAGGGGUCCUCUAAGGUUAAAUGAAUAAGGAAAAUGUAAUAUAUACAUACAGUGGAAUAUUAUUCAGCCUGGAAAAGGAAGGAAGCCCUGUCACAUGUGAUAGCAUGGAUGUACCUUGAAGAUACUACACUAAGUGAAAUAAGCCAGUCCACAAAAAGAGAAAAACUAUAUGAUUCUCCUUAUAUGAGAUACUUAGAGUAUUUAAAAUCAUAUAGAAAAAGUAAAUGGUGGUUGCCAGGGGCUGGGAGCAGGGAAAAAUGGGGAGUUAUUGUUAAUGGCCAUAGAGUUUCUGCUUUAUGAGAUUAAAAGUUAUGGACAAUGAUGGUGAUGGUUGUACAACAUUAUGAACAUAUUUAAUACUGCUGAAGUGUAUCCUUAAAAAUGGUUAAGAGGAUAAAUUUUAUGUGUGUUCUACCACAAUAAAAAUUGAAGGGAAAAAAAACAGUUUAUGCAAAAAGCAGAAAAUGGAGUGGAAAACAAAAAUAGGAACAAUGAACAAAGGUAACAAGUAGAAAACAGUAACUAAUAGUUAUCAAUCCACCUAUACUGAUAAUAACUCUGAAUGUCAGUGGUCUAAAUGCACCAAUUAAGAGACAGAAAUUUUCAGAGUGAAUCAAAAAACAACCCAACUAGAGUACCCACCCCCCCAAAACCCACUUUAAAUAUAAAGGCACAUAGUGAAUAAAAGUAAAUAGAUGGAAAAAUAUAUAUACCAUGCUAACACUAGUGUAAAGAAAGCAGGGAUAGCUACAUUAAUUUCACACAAAGCAGACUUCAGAGUAAGGAAAGUUAUUAGAAUAAAGAAGAGCAUUACAUUAAGAUAAAGGGGUCAGCUCUCCAAGAAGACAUAAGAAUUCUUAACAUGAUGCUCGUAACAGCAUAGCAUCAAACCACAUGAGACAAAAACUGAUAAAAUUGCAAGGAAAAAUAGAUGAGUCUAUUAUCAUGGAGACUUCAACACUCCCUCUCAGAAAUGGACAGAUUGAGCUGGCAGAAAAUCAGUAAGGACACAGCUGAAUUUAACACUGUCAGUCAGCUGGGUGAUAAUGACAUCGAAGACUACCUCAUCCAACAACAGCAGAAUUCACAUUCUUCCCAAGCUCACAUGGAACAUUAGGCAAGAUAGACUGCAUUCUGGACCAUAAAACACAGAAAACAAUCCACCUUACAGUGUCUGUUCUCAGGGCACAAUGGAAUUAAACUAGAAGUCAGUAACAGAAAAAUUACUGAGAAAUCCCAAAAUACUUGGAGAUUAAACAACACACUUCUAAAUAACACUUGAGUCAAAGAAGAAAUUUCAAGAGAAAUUUUCUUAAAUUUUGAACUAAAUGAAAACACAACUUAAUCAAAAUUUGUGAGAUGCAGCAAAAGCAGUGCUUAUAGGGAAAUUUAUGGCAUCGAAUGCAUUUUUAGUAAAGAAAAAAAGAUCUAAAAUCAAUAGUCUAAAUUUCCACCUUAAGAAACUAGAAAAAGAAAAACGAAGUAAGUCCAAAGUGAUCAGAAGAAUUACAGCAGAAAUUAAUGAAAUUGAAAACAGGAAAUCAGUAGACAAAAUCAACAAAACUAAAAGCUGUUUCUUUGAAAAGAUCAAUUAAAAUCGAUAAUCCUCUAACCAGGCCAUCUAAGAAAAAGAGUGGACACAAGUUACUAAUGUCAGAAAUGGAAGUGAGGACAUCACUACAGAUCCCAUGGAAACUGAGUGGAUAAUAAAGGAAUACUAUGAACAACUGUAUUUCAACAGAUAUGAUAAUCUAGAUGAAAUGACCCAAUUCCUUGAAAGACACAAUCUGCCAAAACUCACACACAAAGAAGUAGAUGAUCUGCAUAGGCUUAUAUCUAUUAAAGAAAUUGAAUCAAUAAUUAAUAACAUUUCCAAAUCAAAAGCACCGGGCCCAGAUGGGUUCACUGCUGAAUUCUAUCAAACAUUCAAGAAAGAAAUUUACCAGUUCUCCACAAUUUCUUUCAGAGGAUAGAAGCAGAAGGGAUAUUUCCUAAUUCAUUCCAUUAGACCUGCAUUACACUAAUACCAAAACCAGAUGAAGACAUUCCAAGAAAAGAAAACUAGAGAGAACAGUAUCUCUCAUGAAUAUAGGUACAAAAAUCCCCAACAAAAUAGCAAAUCAAAUCCAGAAAAAGUAUAAAAAGAUGACCAAGUGGGAUGUAUACCAAGUGUGCAAGGCUGGUUCAACAUUCAAAAAUCAAUUAAUGUAAUCCAUCAUAUCAACAGACUAAAGAAUAAAAAUCACAUGAUCAUAUCAAUAACUACGGAAAAGGGAUUUGACAAAAUUAAUACCCAUUCCAAUACCAAUAAAAACCCUCAGUAAACUAGGAAUAGAAGGGAACUUUCCCAACUUGAUAAGGACUAUCUUCAAAAAACCUAUAGCUAACAUCACAUUUAAUAGUGAGAAACUAAGCUUUCCCAUAAAGAUCAAGUACAAAGCGUGAAUGCCCCUUCGCCACUCCUUACCAACAUCAUACCAGAAGUCCAUGCUAUUGCAGUAGGCAAGGAAGGGAAAUAAAAAGAAUACAUAUUAGGAAAGAGGACCUAAAACUGUCUUUGUUUGCAGAUGACAUGAUCAUCUGUGUAGAAAAUCCAAAAGAAUUGACAAAAAAAUCCCAGAACUACUAAGCAAUUAUAACAUGGUUGUAAGAUGCAAGGUUAAUAUGCUAAAGUCCAUCACUUUCCUAGAUGCCAACAAUGAACAAACGGACUUUUUUUUUUCAAGAUUUUACUUAUUUUUUUGACAGAGACAACGAGAGAGGGAACACAAGCAGGGGGAGUGGCAGAGGGAGAAGCAGGCUUCCCACUGAGCAGGGAGCCCAAUGCGGGGCUCGAUCCCAGGACCCUGGGAUCAUGACCUGAGCCGAAGGCAGACGCUUAAUGACUGAGCCACCCAGGCGCCCCGAACAAAUGGAAUUUUAAAUUUAAAAAACAGUAUCACUUACCUUAGCACCCUAAAAAUGAAAUACUUAGGUAUAAUCCUGAUAACAAAAUAUGUACAAGAUGUGUAUGAGGAAAACUACAAAAUGUAGAUGAACAAGAUCAAAGAGCUAAGUAGAUAUUCCGUGUCUAUGGAUAGGAAGACUUAAUAUUUUCAAGAUGUGAGUUCUUCCCAGUUUGAUGUACAGCUUCAUUGUAAUCCCAGUAAAAAUCCCGCCACAUUAUUUUAUGGAUAUUGAUGAACUGAUCCUAAUGUUUAUAUGGAGAGGCAGGAGACCCAGAAUAGCCAACCCAAUAUUCAAGGAGAAUAAAAAAUUUCGAAGUGUGAUGCUACCCACUUUGAUACUUACUAUAAAGCUACAGUAAUCAAGACAGUGUGGUAUUGGCAAAAGAACAGAGAAAUAGAUCAAUAGAACAGAAUAGAGAGCCCAGAAAUAGACCCACAUAAAUACAGUCAACUGCUCUUUGACAGAAGAGCAAAGGCGGUACAGUGGAGCAAAGAUAGUCUUUUCAGGAAACAGUGCUUGAACAACUGGACAUU